GGUUGUGGCUCAGUGGUAAAGCGCUUGCCUAGCACGUGUGAGGAACUGGGUUCGAUUCUCAGCACCA
rnacentral:tRNA from 1 species